GGGCUCUUGGCACAGGGGUAGCGCGCACGCUUUGCAUCCCAUUGAAAGAUGACCUUGCAUGCGUGAGGUCGUGGGUUCAAAUCCCACAGUGUCCA
rnacentral:tRNA from 1 species